UACGUAGGGUGCGAGCGUUAAUCGGAAUUACUGGGCGUAAAGGGUGCGCAGGCGGUUAUGAAAGACAGGCGUGAAAUCCCCGGGCUUAACCUGGGAACUGCGUUUGUGACUACAUGACUAGAGUCAGGCAGAGGGGGGUGGAAUUCCACGUGUAGCAGUGAAAUGCGUAGAGAUGUGGAGGAACACCGAUGGCGAAGGCAGCCCCCUGGGCCAUGACUGACGCUCAGGCACGAAAGCGUGGGGAGCAAACAGG
rnacentral:rRNA from 1 species